UACAGAGACUGCAAGCGUUAUUCGGAUUCACUGGGCGUAAAGGGUGCGCAGGCGGUCGGGUGUGUCAGAUGUGAAAUCCCGAGGCUCAACCUCGGAACUGCGUCUGAAGCUACUCGACUAGAGUACUGGAGAGGGUAACGGAAUUCACGGUGUAGCAGUGAAAUGCGUAGAUAUCGUGAGGAACACCAGAGGCGAAGGCGGUUACCUGGACAGUUACUGACGCUCAGGCACGAAAGCAUGGGGAGCAAAAGGG
rnacentral:rRNA from 1 species